UACGUUGCAUAAUGAGGGCUGCUAUGAAUCAUGAAUUUAAUUGUAAAUUCAAUGACGCUCAGUCAAAAAAAAUACUUUAAAUAUUAAACAAGUCCUUUAGCACUCUUGAGGAUUCAUCCUCAACACGACAUUGAUCCUCUGAGAAAGGAAAGAAAAGAAUGGUGCAGAAGAGUUGUGCUAGGGCUUCUAAGCCUAAUUGAACUAAGCAGUCUAAGAC
rnacentral:lncRNA from 1 species